rnacentral:lncRNA from 1 species
CAUGUAAAGUGCCGGCUGUAUGUGGGAGAGAUGUAAUUUGGCUCCAUAAAAAGAAAAUUAAACAAUAAAAUAUCAAUGACAGAUGUAGUUAGCUAAAGGUUUUGAGGUUUAAAUACCAAUUUGUGGGGGGGAAAAUUAUGAAGACAAACUGAAGGUACCAGAUAAAAAUACCAGUCUUCACAGGAGUAGAAGUUUCAAUCUUUUGACCAGAUGUGCUAAGACCUUAGCUGUGCUCUUGAUUUAACAGAUGAAUCUACAAGUUCCUAACUUUUCCAAAUCCAAAAAAGAGUAGGUGAGUAGUGAUAAAAGAAAGAAAGCUAGUCAAAUAUUUAAUCCAUGUCUCUGACUUGAUAUAGCAGGUUAGAUUAGAUUGGUGAAGCCAUGUUCUCCAAACCAGGGCUUCUACAAGUGGAACUAGAAUUUUUCUUGUAUUUCUCUCCUUAGAAAGCAUCAUAACAAAAAUCAAAAACAAAAACAGGAUUCCAAUGUAUUUCAGUUGUGGUUAGUUUUUCCUAAAAAUAAUAGUAUCAUGGAAUUAUAUGAGUCUUAAAGGUAAGUAUGAAAAAUAAUCAACACAAUUAUUGAUGAUAAAGCUCUGUAUUACUACUUGAAGAGUAAAAUAAGUGAAAAUUAAUCUUAUUUUGUACUCCAGCCUCACUGGUUAUUCCUAGUGGGCCUUAGACUUAAAACAUCCAUAGCUGGAAAAGUACAUAGACUCAAACUUUUCUCAACCUUGAAGCCUGGGACAGAGCAAUGGUAUAUAAGUAGCAAAAAACACUUGAUGACAAACUUUACAAAUCUUCAGCAUCCCCUAUAGAUUAAGAGAGUAAGCAUGACAUAUACCAAGAUUAUAGAAAUGUUAGAACAUUUUAACAUCAAUGAAAUUUCCUAAGGGACUUCUCCAAUCUCUGGUAAAUCCUUAACUUUUUCCCUCCGAUAUGCCCCCAAUCUUCGGAAUCAAGAAUGGGCUCAUUGGAGUUCCCGUUGUUGCUCAGUGGUUAACAAACCUGAGUAGUAUCCAUGAGGACACUGGCCUCAAUCAGUGAGUUAAGGAUCCGGUGUUGCUAUGACCUGUGGUGUAGGUGGCAGAUUCGCCUCGGAUCCCAUGUUGCUGUGGCUAUGGUGUAGGCCAGCAGCUGUAGCUCCAAUUGGACCCCUAGCCUGGGAACCUUCAUAUGCCACAGGUGCAGCCCUAAAAAGACAAAAGACAAAAAAAGGGGGGAGGGGGCUCAUUAUUCUGUCCCCUAGCACUUAGCACUGGAAUUUACUAAUAAUAAUAACUAAAUAAAUGUGUUGAAAUAAUGUACAGAUGGAUAGAUGCAGAAAUGAAAGAAUAAAGCUUAUUUCCCAAGUGAAAACCAUUAAUCCGUUCAUACAGUAAUUCUGCCAUGCAUGUGGGAAGGUUUAAUCCUGGCCUCGUAGCUGAGUGGGGCCGUGUGAAUGGUAAUCCCAGUCUUCAGUAGAUGGUAAUCCCACCAAGGUCACUUCCAGGCUGGCCCAUGUGGCUAGUGUGAGACCCAGCAGAAUCUUCUUUCCCCCUCUCCAUGUUCGUGCCAGCUCUCUGGCACCCUGAACUGGCGUCAGAUAUAAUGAGCAAAGUCCCCGGCUAUUUGGUGGGCAUAGCACAUGGGUGAGAAACAACCUUUUGUUGUUUAAAGUCCCUGAGAUUGUUCUGGAUGGAACAGUAGGCAAAAAUAGAGUGGAUACCAAUAUUUCCCAAGAAACAUUCUUCUCCUAUUAAGAUGCCACAUGGUGUGUAUAUAUGCCCUUGCAAUCAUCUCAGCCUCGCUCCCAAUCUCCAUCCCAUCCCCAAAGGAGCAGUUCGAUUAAACUUUAAAUAUUGCAGUAGUCCAUCUCUGAAGAUUGUCUUCAGUGGAAAAAUUAUUUUCAAACUGGGCCUAGGUCCUAAGGAGACAAGCAUGACUCUGCAGAAAAUUACACACAGGGAUACACACACAAACACACACACACACCUAAGCAACUUCGUUCACUGUCUUCGUAGCCAAUAGAGAAAAACAAGACUUGAUAUAAGUAGCUGGAUUACUGUGGUGAUUCAGAUAGAUAUUAUUUUCUGGGAUUUCCAUGUAUAAUGUUAUUGAAUUGAUGUUCGAUUAUAUUAUACACAAUAUAAUUAAUAGAAAAAAAUGACAGUUACAAAAAUAGGAAGAUAUGAGGAGCGAGCAUAAAUGACAUUCCUUUCUGAAAGUUGUGGAUAGAAAACUUUUCUAGCAUCUGUUAUGGAAAUAUGGAAACUGAUAUUUUUACAUGCAGUGUGAAAUGUAAAAUCAGAGAUAAAAUGUGGUUAGUCCAUAUUUGAGGAUCCAUGCUUGUCAAAAUAACACUUCCAAAAAGCAAAUCAUUUAGAAAGGUUACCCUUCGGAAUCCUGCCACCAACAGUGAUACUUUCAAUAGUUGGGUAUUUAGUAUAUCCACACACCAGUCAACCCUACCAGCCUGCAAGUCCAAGAGACUCAGAAGCAGGAAUAUAUCAGGAUGAAUAGGUGUCCUAUGGACUGUGUGAAAGGAGGCAUAUUUCAGCAGGCAGUUUGGGAGUGGGGAGCCCACCCCCCCAAACUCCCCAUAUAAAGAAAGAAAUUAUGAAGUUCCUGUCGUGGCUCAGUGGAAAUGAAUCUGACUAGCAUUCAUGAGGACACAGGUUCGAUCCCUGGCCUCGCUCAGUGGGUUAAGGAUCUGGUGAUGCCGUGAGCAGUGGUAUAGGUUCCAGAAGCGGCUUGGAUCUGGCAUUGCUGUGGCUGGGGUAUAGGCCAACGGUUACAGCUCUGAUUCAACCCCUCGCCUGGGAACCUCCAUAUGCCGUGGGUGUGGCCCUAAAAUGACAAAAAAAAAAAAAAAGAAAAA